CUCGCGCGCGCGUGCUCCCUUCCCUUUGGAACGGUCUAGGCGUCGGUCGGACCUCCGGCCGGGCGUGGCGGAGCUUUUUCGGAAGUCAGGAUUCCAUUAAACACUUGUGCCUGGCAUAUCACCGGUCACCAGCAAAGCUACAGAAUCUGGCACACGAUCGAGCCGCCACAACAGCGGACCAUCCAAACAGUUCAAGCCAAUGGCCGCCAGAGUAUCAGCUACAACAUUACAAAAUCUGGGUACAUAAAGUUGCCAUUUCCUUUGUAUCGCUGAUAGAGGAUGAGGCUUUGAAGGCGGAGAUGCUUCUGGGAGAAAGAAAAACAAACUUUGAUUAAUCUGGAGCAGUUUAUAAAGGUCGAGGUCGGAGACCUAACAGAGGCUCGACGUGAGGGAGGUGUUAUACUAUCAGCUUAAGCUUUCGAGUUAGAUUGGUUGAUGCAUGCAAAUUAAUAGUGAUAACUUAUAAGCACGUGUUCUUAUUCAGUUAUUACCCAUGGUGCAUUCGAUUCUCCAUUCUUUUCAAGUUUAUUGUUUGAGAAACCCGGAGGCCAAAAGCUAACUAUUUGAGUUAUUGAUCCUAUUUGAGUCACUUAAAAAAGAAUGUGAAGCAGCAAGACAAUUUUUCUUUGAGUUACUAAUCCUAUUUGUUGUAAGAAAAAUAUGUACAUGGUUUGUUCAUUUAAAGUUGUGUUGCUUCAACUGUAGCACACCAUAAUACACCUCUAUGGCUCUAUCUCCCGGUACCUUCGAUUGAGUCUUGUCAGC